GGAAGUAUGGGUGAGUGGUCGAAACCAGCACACUGCUAACGUGCCGAGCCCCUCAAGGGUUCCGAAGGUUCAAAUCCUUCUGCUUCCG
rnacentral:tRNA from 1 species